rnacentral:rRNA from 1 species
UACGGAGGGUGCGAGCGUUGUCCGGAAUCAUUGGGCGUAAAGGGCGCGUAGGUGGCCCGGUCAGUCUUUGGUGAAAGCGCGGGGCUCAACCCUGCGUCGGCCAGGGAUACUGCCGCGGCUCGAGCACUGUAGAGGCAGGCGGAAUUCCGGGUGUAGCGGUGGAAUGCGUAGAGAUCCGGAAGAACACCGGUGGUGAAGGCGGCCUGCUGGGCAGUUUAGCUGACACUGAGGCGCGACAGCGUGGGGAGCAAACAGGG